AACGAACGCUGGCGGCAUGCCUAACACAUGCAAGUCGAACGAAGGCUUCGGCCUUAGUGGCGCACGGGUGAGUAACGCGUGGGAAACUGCCUAUUGGUGGGGAAUAACGACGGGAAACUGUCGCUAAUACCGCAUAAGCCCUUCGGGGGAAAGAUUUAUCGCCGAUAGAUGUGCCCGCGUCCGAUUAGCUAGUUGGUGAGGUAAUGGCUCACCAAGGCGACGAUCGGUAGCUGGUCUGAGAGGAUGAUCAGCCACACUGGGACUGAGACGCGGCCCAGACUCCUACGGGAGGCAGCAGUGGGGAAUAUUGGACAAUGGGCGAAAGCCUGAUCCAGCAAUGCCGCGUGAGUGAUGAAGGCCUUAGGGUUGUAAAGCUCUUUCGGGUGGGACGAUGAUGACGGUACCACCAGAAGAAGCCCCGGCUAACUUCGUGCCAGCAGCCGCAGUAA
rnacentral:rRNA from 1 species